GUUAAAAGCUCGUAGUCGAACUUCGGGCUCUGUCAGCCGGUCCGCCUUCUUGGUGUGUACUUGUUUGACGGAGCCUUACCUCCUGGUGAACGGCGAUGUCCUUUACUGGGUGUCGUCGCAAACCAGGACUUUUACUUUGAAAAAAUUAGAGUGUUCAAAGCAGGCCUUUGCCCGAAUACAUUAGCAUGGAAUAAUAAAAUAGGACGCGCGUUCCCAUUUUGUUGGUUUCUGAGAUCGCCGUAAUGAUUAAUAGGGAUAGUUGGGGGCAUUUGUAUUCCGUCGUCAGAGGUGAAAUUCUUGGAUUGCCGGAAGACAAACUACUGCGAAAGCAUUUGCCAAGGAUGUUUUCAUUGAUCAAGAACGAAGGAAGGGGGAUCGAAAACGAUUAGAUACCGUUGUAGUCUCUUCUGUAAACUAUGCCAAUUGGGGAUCGGUACAGGAUUUUUAAUGACUGUAUCGGCACCCGAAGAGAAAUCUUUAAAUGAGGUUCGGGGGGGAGUAUGGUCGCAAGGCUGAAACUUAAAGGAAUUGACGGAAGGGCACCACCAGGUGUGGAGCCUGCGGCUUAAUUUGACUCAACACGGGGAAACUCACCAGGUCCAGACACAAUAAGGAUUGACAGAUUGAUAGCUCUUUCUUGAUCUUGUGGUUGGUGGUGCAUGGCCGUUCUUAGUUGGUGGAGUGAUUUGUCUGGUUAAUUCCGAUAACGAACGAGACCUUAACCUGCUAAAUAGACCAGCCGGCUUUGGCUAGCUGCUGUCUUCUUAGAGGGACUAUCAGCGUUUAGCUGAUGGAAGUUUGAGGCAAUAACAGGUCUGUGAUGCCCUUAGAUGUUCUGGGCCGCACGCGCGCUACACUGACAGAGCCAGCGAGUCUACCACCUUUGCCGGAAGGCAUGGGUAAUCUUGUGAAACUCUGUCGUGAUGGGGAUAGAACAUUGCAAUUAUUGUUCUUCACGAGGAAUA
rnacentral:rRNA from 1 species